rnacentral:rRNA from 1 species
UACGUAGGGUCCGGGCGUGUCCGGAAUUACUGGGCGUAAAGAGCUCGUAGGCGGUUUGUCGCGUCUGCUGUGAAAACCUAAGGCUCAACCUUGGGCUUGCAGUGGGUACGGGCAGACUAGAGUGCGGUAGGGGUGACUGGAAUUCCUGGUGUAGCGGUGGAAUGCGCAGAUAUCAGGAGGAACACCGGUGGCGAAGGCGGCAUCCUGGACCGGUAUUGACGCGUGAGGCGCGGAAAAGCCAGGGGAGCAAAACGGGG